GGAGAAGGGGCCAUAGCUCAGUGGUAGAGCAUCUGCUUUGCAUAUAGAAGGUCCCAGGUUCAAAUCUCGGCACCUCCA